UACGAAGGGGGCUAGCGUUGCUCGGAAUCACUGGGCGUAAAGCGCACGUAGGCGGCUUCUUAAGUCAGGGGUGAAAUCCUGGAGCUCAACUCCAGAACUGCCUUUGAUACUGAGUAGCUUGAGUCCGGGAGAGGUGAGUGGAACUGCGAGUGUAGAGGUGAAAUUCGUAGAUAUUCGCAAGAACACCAGUGGCAAAGGCGGCUCACUGGCCCGGUACUGACGCUGAGGUGCGAAAGCGUGGGGAGCAAACAGG
rnacentral:rRNA from 1 species